ACGAGGAAAAAGACAUCACAAAUGAACAAUAAAAAUGUGAGUUUUAAUUUAUACCAUAUUGAAAUAGAAAAAUAAAAAAUAAAUAACAAGAAUCAUCCCACUUUGGUAGAGUCCAGAUAAAAACAAGCAUUAAAAGCUAAUCAAACAAACGACAACUGUCUAAACAGAAUUCCAUUAGAAUGGAACAAAAUGUAGGCCAAGU